AAUUAGGGGUAAGAAAAAUUGUGAUAGAAAAAAAUGUACAGAAAUUAACUAGACCAAUUAUGGACACUGAUGAAGAUAGGAUUAGGUUGAGAGAAAGAGAGAAAAAGUAGGAAUUAGAGAGAGAUGGAGACAAAUUGAGAAGAUAAAAUUAGAGGUAAGAAAAAUUGUAAUAGAAAAAAAUGUACAGAAAUUAACUAGACCAAUUAUGGACACUGAUGAAGAUAGGAUUAGGUUGAGAGAAAGAGAGAGAAAGCAGGAAUUAGAGAGAGAUGGAGACAAAAUGAGAGGAUAAAAUUAGGGGUAAGAAAAAUUGUAAUAGAAAAAAAUGUACAGAAAUUAACUAGACCAAUUAUGGACACUGAUG